CAGACCUCUAAUCGGAAAAGACUACCCGCUGAGU
rnacentral:rRNA from 19 species